UAACUCGUCCUUUACUUGUUGCAGGUGUGACGCCGUCUGACUGUAGUCGUGUGUGGGGAACAGGUGCAGGACUGCUGCAGGCUCCAGCUGGAUCUGCUGCUUCAGGUUUAAGGAACCGGUUGUCAUGAAGAGAGAUCCAAAGCCAUCUUGUUUUAACACAAUCCUGCAGUUUGCCAAGCUGUGGUACAGCCUUUCCUGGAAAUGUUAGUUUGCAGUGCAGUUAAAUCCUUACUUCUAUUUCCAGAUUGCUGGAAUUUGAUACCAAAUAAAUAAGUGUACGACAACUCUUAGCUGUGAUAUACUUUAUUAACACCCAGUUGACAUGGCGUGGUGUAGAAGUUUGUUCAGUAAAGAUCGAAGGACAAUUGGCAUCCAGAUUUUUCCAACCACAAGUGAGCAAUAUAUAGCUUGAAAAAUUACAAGGAAAUGUUAACUUCUGAUUAGUUUGACUAGUGCAUUUUUUAUUUUUUUGUGAAAAUGUAAGUAACCAGUUUUAGUGUCAAAUAUAUUUUGCCAUUUUAAAGCGCUGUUGCUUAUUUGCAUUAGUUGACACCAGAUCAGCGGUGGGAAAGGUACUCAGAUCUUGUAAUUGAGUGUUGUAAUGCUCUGCAUUUAAAAUGUUACUCAAAUGAAAUACAACAGUAUUGGCAUCUAAAGGUACCAAAAGUACUCACUAUGCAGAUUAGCCCAUUUCUCAAUCAGAUCAUGUUUUGCUUAUAAGUGUUAAUUUUACUAGAGGGUAGUUUGUGCAUUUUACCCCAGGCUUAACUAAAAUAUUUGUUAUUUCACAUUAAUCUGGUUAGGUACACUAUUUACAUAUGAAUUGUAGUGAGGAAGAAAGUAGCAACAUUUACAAGUAUGUCAAAAUUAUACUUGAGUACAGUAAAUCUACCUACUUUACACCAGACGAAUGGAAAAUGUUUGUCAAAAGUGGCAUUGAAACAAACCUCACACUUAGUUCAGUAACAAAGGGACACUUGAGGCAUGUGUAGUCGGACCUUCAGGUGCUUGUGAUGUGAACAAAAUCAUUUGUUGCCAUUAAAAUAUUGAGGAUUGUUGCAAACUUUUAAUAAAUUACUUUAGAAGCA